CAACAUCUAUCUUCUUCCUCUCCAUAGCAACAAAGUUAAGACCACAGAAUGACGUAUGACUUUGAGUAAUUAAAAAACUUGUGCCACACAGUCAGAACAGGGAAUAAAUGUUCAAAUUUAAAGUGAGCCCGCAUAACCUCGCCCUUGAUCCAGUGUUAAAAAGGACUGUAGAACCCCGUUUGGCUCCAAAGGAGGAGCCCAGGACACCACCACCUCGCUGGGCCGGUCCUGGACGUGACGCACUGUUGGAGAGGCUAGGCCACGAGGAGGGGCUUGUCUGGUUGUUACAGUUACCCAGGGGCUACAGGUGUGUCCCGCUGUGUUGUGAGUACAGACGCUAAACUCGUACUGGGUCCAGGGACACAAACCAGUUACUGUGUAGGAGAAGGAUUCAGCUUUCUGUGGGGAUGUUUCUGUGAAGAGCACCUGUGGAAGGCAUGAUGGAUGAUCAAGUACCCUGAUGACUCCAUUUGGAGCAUGUGGCUCAUCCCAGCUGAGCAGCAAUGCUCUGCCCUCCUCUCUCUGCUCCACUGUGAAGUUCCCCAGGCCGGUCGGAGAAGCCUCCAGGGUCAUGACCUCCACCCAUGGACUGGAAACGCUGCCUGAAGGGCUUCCACACAGAAACUGUACUGGCUGUAUGGGUCAAGACCAAAGACUGCUGCCUCCAACACUGAACCCUGAGACACAGAAAACAUGUUACAGAACAUUGAUUCUCAAAUUGUGGCACAAGUAAUGCUACCUGGGUUGACUUUAGUGGUAUUCAAAACAAUUUUUGGCACAAUGUUUUUAACACAACUAAAACUAACUUUAAAGUCGAGCUAUUGUAAACCUACCAACACUCAAAAAGAUGUGUUGUUUAAGCACAUUGAUCUUUGCUUCAUUAAAAACAU